UAUCAACAGAUUGUAAGUGGAAAGUUCUGCGAGUGCACCAACUUCCUUUGCGAUCGUCACAAUGGACUACUGUGCUCAGGACCUGAUCAUGGUGAAUGUGUCUGCAAUGAAUGCAAAUGCAAGCCAGGUUGGACUGGAGAGGCCUGCAAUUGUGAAGACAGUGAAAGCAAUUGUGUAAACCCUGAUACUGGAGACAUUUGUUCAAACCAAGGAAAAUGUGAGUGCAACCAGUGCAAGUGUUAUGAGACAGCUGAUGGCAGAUAUUCAGGCAAAUGGUGUGAAGACUGUCCGACAUGCAAGGGCAAAUGCAUUGCAUACAAGGCGUGUGUACAGUGCCAGGUGUUUGAAACUGGUGAAUUCAACAUCGAGGAGUGCAAAGCCAACUGUACUACUUUCAACUCCACUCCUGUACCAGUAGCUGAAGCUGUGUGGCACUGACUUCAAGUGCCUGGACUUUAAGGAGUGUGUACAGUGUCGUGUUUACGAGACGGGCCCUUUGGCGGAAGAUCCAGUGCUCUGUGAUAGCUGCUCCCUCCUCUACAGCACCAUUACAGACCGAGCCAUUGCCAACUAUACUAUUAAUGUUACUAACUGGGUUGAAGUUGAAAACGAAGGAGAGCGUCUGUGCACCUUCUUUGACGAGAACGAUUGCCGCUUCACCUUUGUUUAUGGAUAUGAUGAGAAUAA